CCCUUAGAUGUUCUGGGCUGCACGCGCGCUACACUGAUGUACUCAACGAGUUUUCGACCUUGCCUGGAAAGGUUGGGUAAUCUUGUUAAAAUGCAUCGUGAUGGGGAUAGAUUAUUGCAAUUAUUAAUCUUCAACGAGGAAUUCCUAGUAAGCGCGAGUCAUCAGCUCGUGCUGAUUACGUCCCUGCCCUUUGUACACACCGCCCGUUGCUCCUACCGAUUGAGUGAUCCGGUGAAUAAUUCGGACUGCAGCAAUGUUUGGAUCCCGAACGUUGCAGCGGAAAGUUUAGUGAACCUUAUCACUUAGAGGAAGGAGAAGUCGUAACA
rnacentral:rRNA from 1 species